rnacentral:rRNA from 1 species
CAGUAGCCACGGUAAUACGUAGGUGGCAAGCGUUGUCCGGAAUUAUUGGGCGUAAAGGGCUCGCAGGCGGUUUCUUAAGUCUGAUGUGAAAGCCCCCGGCUCAACCGGGGAGGGUCAUUGGAAACUGGGAAACUUGAGUGCAGAAGAGGAGAGUGGAAUUCCACGUGUAGCGGUGAAAUGCGUAGAGAUGUGGAGGAACACCAGUGGCGAAGGCGACUCUCUGGUCUGUGACUGACGCUGAGGAGCGAAAGCGUGGGGAGCGAACAGGAUUAGAUAUCCGUGUAGUCCCUGUCUCUUAUAC